rnacentral:tmRNA from 1 species
AGCCUUUAAAUUCCCGGCCGCUUCUCUUAUAUUGGUUGUGCUGGGCAACCAGCUAUGACGAUAAAUUGCCUGUGCAAUAAACCAUUCGGACCCGGGGGCGGUACCCGGCGCCUCCACCACAAGCCCUUCCUGCCGCAGAAGGUUUUGUGAUGGGGGCGAAACAGGAUCGACGAGGGUGUAAAGACAGUGUUUUCGUUCGGUAUUGUACCACCGUUAUCGGGCUAAAUUUCUAGUUGCAAACGACAACUAUGCGGAAGCUCGUCUAGCUGCUUAAUUGCGGUUCGACAGUUUCACACUGAACUCCUGACGGUUCGCACUGUCAGGCGGGGUCCGAAGGCACCUGGCAACAGAAGCCUUCACC